GGGCGAGCGUUGUUCGGAAUUAUUGGGCGUAAAGGGCGCGUAGGCGGUUGGAUAAGGCUUGUGUGAAAUCUUCGGGCUCAACUCGAAGUCUGCACGAGAAACUAUCUGGCUUGAGUGUGGGAGAGGUGAGUGGAAUUCCUGGUGUAGCGGUGAAAUGCGUAGAUAUCAGGAGGAACACCUGUGGCGAAAGCGGCUCACUGGACCACAACUGACGCUGAGGCGCGAAAGCUAGGGGAGCAAACAGG
rnacentral:rRNA from 1 species